rnacentral:rRNA from 1 species
GACGAACGCUGGCGGCGUGCCUAAUACAUGCAAGUUGAGCGCUGAAGGUUGGUACUUGUACCAACUGGAUGAGCAGCGAACGGGUGAGUAACGCGUGGGGAAUCUGCCUUUGAGCGGGGGACAACAUUUGGAAACGAAUGCUAAUACCGCAUAAAAACUUUAAACACAAGUUUUAAGUUUGAAAGAUGCAAUUGCAUCACUCAAAGAUGAUCCCGCGUUGUAUUAGCUAGUUGGUGAGGUAAAGGCUCACCAAGGCGAUGAUACAUAGCCGACCUGAGAGGGUGAUCGGCCAAAUUGGGACUGAGACACGGCCCAAACUCCUACGGGAGGCAGCAGUAGGGAAUCUUCGGCAAUGGACGAAAGUCUGACCGAGCAACGCCGCGUGAGUGAAGAAGGUUUUCGGAUCGUAAAGCUCUGUUGGUAGAGAAGAACGUUGGUGAGAGUGGAAAGCUCAUCAAGUGACGGUAACUAACCAGAAAGGGACGGCUAACUACGUG